rnacentral:rRNA from 1 species
GUGGGGAAUAUUGGACAAUGGGCGAAAGCCUGAUCCAGCCAUGCCGCGUGUGUGAAGAAGGUCUUCGGAUUGUAAAGCACUUUAAGUUGGGAGGAAGGGCAGUAAGUUAAUACCUUGCUGUUUUGACGUUACCAACAGAAUAAGCACCGGCUAACUUCGUGCCAGCAGCCGCGGUAAUACGAAGGGUGCAAGCGUUAAUCGGAAUUACUGGGCGUAAAGCGCGCGUAGGUGGUUCAGCAAGUUGAAGGUGAAAUCCCCGGGCUCAACCUGGGAACUGCCUCCAAAACUACUGAGCUAGAGUACGGUAGAGGGUAGUGGAAUUUCCUGUGUAGCGAUGAAAUGCGUAGAUAUAGGAAGGAACACCAGUGGCGAAGGCGACUACCUGGACUGAUACUGACACUGAGGUGCGAAAGCGUGGGGAGCAAACAGGAUUAGAUACCCUAGUAGUCC